GAUGAACGCUGGCGGCGUGCCUAAUACAUGCAAGUCGAGCGAACAGACGAGGAGCUUGCUCCUCUGACGUUAGCGGCGGACGGGUGAGUAACACGUGGAUAACCUACCUAUAAGACUGGGAUAACUUCGGGAAACCGGAGCUAAUACCGGAUAAUAUAUUGAACCGCAUGGUUCAAUAGUGAAAGACGGUUUUGCUGUCACUUAUAGAUGGAUCCGCGCCGCAUUAGCUAGUUGGUAAGGUAACGGCUUACCAAGGCGACGAUGCGUAGCCGACCUGAGAGGGGGAUCGGCCACACUGGAACUGAGACACGGUCCAGACUCCUAAGGGAGGCCACAGUAGGGAAUCUUCCGCAAUGGGCGAAAGCCUGACGGAGCAACGCCGCGUGAGUGAUGAAGGUCUUCGGAUCGUAAAACUCUGUUAUUAGGGAAGAACAAAUGUGUAAGUAACUAUGCACGUCUUGACGGUACCUAAUCAGAAAGCCACGGCUAACUACGUG
rnacentral:rRNA from 1 species